GAGAGUGCAAUGAGACCAGUGAAACUGGCCUCUAGUUCCAGGUGGUCUUUGCAGGGUGCAGAGGUCAUCUCCAGCUGAUUCCCUCUGCUCUGACGCCCCAUUUAAAACUGACUCCCACCCCCUGGCCCGCUCCACCGUUCCCUGACCCAGUCGACAGUUCACUCCUGGUUACCGACUCUCCAACUGCCACCUCUAGAACGUCCACUUCCCAAGGGCAGGGGCUUGGUCUCUUCUGUUUCCUGCUACAACCCCUGGACCCGAGACUCUGCCAGACACAUGACUCCCACAUGCGCUUUUUGGAACAAGCUAUCACACAGACUGCUCAAAACUGUGGACGCCUCACAUCCAAAUCCAUAAUAAAGAUGCCAAGUUGGUUCAGCAAAUGUCAGAGAUUCCUGAUGUCAUGGAGAAGGAAAAAAACUCCUUAAAUAUUUGAAUGUUGAAUGAAUAUACUAAUUAAAUACACGGAGAAACAAACUUG